AUUGAACGCUGGCGGCAGGCCUAACACAUGCAAGUCGAGCAGUGGCGAUCGGGUGAGUAACACGUGAGUAACCUGCCCUCCACUUUGGGAUAACUCCGAGAAAUCGGGGCUAAUACUGGAUAGUGGGGGAUGGGCUCGCGGCCUAUCAGUUUGUUGGUGAGGUAGUGGUCACCAAGGCGUGACGGGUAGCCGGCCUGAGAGGGCGACCGGCCACACUGGGACUGAGACACGGCCCAGACUCCGACGGGAGGCAGCAGUGGGGAAUAUUGCACAAUGGGCGAAAGCCUGAUGCAGCGACGCCGCGUGGGGGAUGACGGCCUUCGGGUUGUAAACCUCUUUCAGCAAGGAAGCGGUACUUGCAGAAGAAGCGCCGGCUAACUACGUGCCAGCCGCCGCGGUAAUUC
rnacentral:rRNA from 1 species